UACGUAGGCAGCAAGCGUUGUUCGGAAUUACUGGGCGUAAAGAGUGUGUAGGCGGUGCUCUAAGUUCGGUGUGAAAUCUCCCGGCUCAACUGGGAGGGUGCGCCGGAAACUGGAGUGCUGGAGCGCGGGGAGAGGAAAGCGGAAUUCCUGGUGUAGCGGUGAAAUGCGUAGAUAUCAGGAGGAACACCGGCGGGUGUAGACGGCUUUCUGGACCGUAGCUGACGCUGGAGACACGAAAGCGUGGGUAGCAAACAGG
rnacentral:rRNA from 1 species